CGUUGAUGACCCGCCAUAUGGUUUAGACUGCUUUCAUCGUAAUGGAGGAGGACGCCAAAGGGACACGGUGACUGUGUCAAUAGCAACUAACUUGAAAAGACUUGGGUGCAUCUGGGGAAGGACUUGUAGAGAUCAUGUAUUUAUAAAUAUAAAUUGAGUAAAAAAGGAGUUAAAAUAAUGUUUAUGGAUUUUUGUGGGUGUGCAUAAAAAGAAACGAAAGAAAACAAACAAUAACUCUCUUUUAACUCCAUAAGACAUACAUUUGUAAUACUUUGCUGUAUUGUGGGGUGUUACAAGGUUUAGGUGUUUGUUUAAACUUCCAAAAGAAGAACCAGCACAUCAGAACUGGUAGGAUUUUAUCUUCAGGAGCACGACAGACCCACCAGCAACUCUUCGUCAGUGACCGCCACUUCACAGAUGACUGCUUGAUAACCUCGGCAUGUAUCAAAGUGGUUUGGUCAAGAGACUAAAUCUUAGAGCCGGCACCAUUCCUACAAUCAAACCGGAUGAAGAGUCCAGACCUGCUUUGCUGCUCUUCAAAGAGAAAGGAAACAAACGUUUGGAGGACAUUCAUGGAGCUUUUGAUAAUCAAAGUUGCUCAAGAAUGUUCAGCAGAAUUCCAUCUCAGGUCAAACCGACCACAUCCUCUGCUCCUCGCUCAGGUUGACUGCUGGGAGCUGGUCUGCAUCUCAUUUGCCCCCACAUUUUUUCUCACCACAGCUGUUAAACCAGGGAUGUGUCUCUUGAAGUUUUUUUCUGUCACAGUGAAAUGAUUAAAUUGACACUUUGUGAGCUAAAUUUGA